AUUGAACGCUGGCGGCAGGCCUAACACAUGCAAGUCGAACGAGUGGCGGACGGGUGAGUAAUUUCUGGGCAACUGCCUGAUGGAGGGGGAUCACUACUGGAAACGGUAGCUAAUACCGCAUACCAUCGGUUCUGCCCAGAUGGGAUUAGCUAGUCGGUGGGGUAAAGGCUCACCUAGGCGACGCUCCCUAGCUGGUCUGAGAGGAUGACCGGCCAAACUGGAACGGAGACACGGUCCAGACUCCUACGGGAGGAAGCAGUGGGGAAUAUUGCACAAUGGGCGCAAGCCUGAUGCAGCCAUGCCGCGUGUAUGAAGAAGGCCUUCGGGUUGUAAAGUACUUUCAGCGGGGAGGCGGUACCCGCAGAAGAAGCAACGGCUAACUCCGUGCCAGCAGCCGCGGUAAUAC
rnacentral:rRNA from 1 species